AUUGAACGCUGGCGGCAGGCCUAACACAUGCAAGUCGAACGAGUGGCGGACGGGUGAGUAAUGUCUGGGAAAUUGCCUGAUGGAGGGGGAUAACUUCUGGAAACGGUAGCUAAUACCGCAUACCAUCGGAUGUGCCCAGGUGGGAUUAGCUAGUAGGUGGGGUAACGGCUCCCCUAGGCGACGAUCCCUAGCUGGUCCGAGAGGAUGACCAGCCACACUGGGACUGAGACCCGGCCCAGACUCCUACGGGAGGCAGCAGUGGGGAAUAGUGCACAAUGGGCGCAAGCCUGAUGCAGCCAUGCCGCGUGUAUGAAGAAGGCCUUCGGGUUGUAAAGUACUUUCAGCGGGGAGGCGUUACCCGCAGAAGAAGCACCGGCUAACUCCGUGCCAGCAGCCGCGGUAAUUC
rnacentral:rRNA from 1 species